AACGCUGUCGUCUCCUCACCAUUUCCUACAGGUCUGCAGAGGACGUGGACUUAAACCAACAGUUCUUCAGGAAAACACACAACAGUUUCAGAGCGGGAGUCUCGCUCCAGUGAGUGAUGAGAACAGCUGAUGGUAUCCCAUCAUCCCGUCAUCACCUGCAAGCUCACAAACUCAGAACAAACGUCACAAGAGAAGAAAGCCUGAAGAGGAGACUCAUGAUGGGAUUAAAAGAAUGAUCGAGGGAG